CAAGGAAUUAGCUCCCUAAUAUAAAUAUUUAGGCCAGGCUUCACAUUUUUUGAUAAGAAAACGAAGAAUAGGAAGCAACCAGUGAAGCUUUUGAGAUGUUUAGCCUUCAGCAACCCACUUUGACAUAUGUAGGAGGCAAUGAUAUGAGCCUCAAUGCAGCUGAAAACGAGAAGCAACGUCGUAAGAUGCGCAAUAAGGGAUCCAUUGCUCAAUCAAGGGCAAGAAAAGAUGCUUAUGCAGCUCAAUUACUUCUUGAUGUUGGAAGACUCAAAAAGGAAAAUAAAGUGAUGAAGAGUGCUUUCAAGG